GGCUCGGUAGGCAACUGGCAGACCACCUUCGCUUAGAACGAGGGAUGCUGUGGGUUCGAAUCCCACUCGAGCUAC
rnacentral:tRNA from 1 species